UACGGGGGGGGCAAGCGUUGUUCGGAAUUACUGGGCGUAAAGGGCUCGUAGGCGGCCAACUAAGUCAGACGUGAAAUCCCUCGGCUUAACCCGGGAACUGCGUCCGAUACUGGCAGGCUUGAAUUCGGGAGAGGGAUGCGGAAUUCCAGGUGUAGCGGUGAAAUGCGUAGAUAUCGGGAGGAACACCGGUGGCGAAGGCGGCAUCCUGGACCGAGAUUGACGCUGAUGCGCGAAGGCCAGGGGAGCGAACGGG
rnacentral:rRNA from 1 species